UACGUAGGGUGCAAGCGUUGUCCGGAAUUAUUGGGCGUAAAGAGCUUGUAGGCGGUUUGUCGCGUCUGCUGUGAAAUCUCAAGGCUCAACCUUGAGCUUGCAGUGGGUACGGGCAGACUAGAGUGUGGUAGGGGAGACUGGAAGUUCCUGGUGUAGCGGUGAAAUGCGCAGACUAUCAGGAGGAACACCAAUGGCGAAGGCAGCUCUCUGGUACGUGAC
rnacentral:rRNA from 1 species